rnacentral:rRNA from 1 species
AGUGAACGCUGGCGGUAGGCCUAACACAUGCAAGUCGAACGGCAGCACAGUAAGAGCUAGCUCUUACGGGUGGCGAGUGGCGGACGGGUGAGGAAUACAUCGGAAUCUACUUUUUCGUGGGGGAUAACGUAGGGAAACUUACGCUAAUACCGCAUACGACCUACGGGUGAAAGCAGGGGAUCUUCGGACCUUGCGCGAUUGAAUGGGCCGAUGUCGGAUUAGCUAGUUGGCGGGGUAAAGGCCCACCAAGGCGACGAUCCGUAGCUGGUCUGAGAGGAUGAUCAGCCACACUGGAACUGAGACACGGUCCAGACUCCUACGGGAGGCAGCAGUGGGGAAUAUUGGACAAUGGGCGCAAGCCUGAUCCAGCCAUACCGCGUGGGUGAAGAAGGCCUUCGGGUUGUAAAGCCCUUUUGUUGGGAAAGAAAAGCAGCAGGUUAAUACCCCGCUGUUCUGACGGUACCCAAAGAAUAAGCACCGGCUAACUUCGUG